rnacentral:rRNA from 1 species
AUGGAGUACCAGCCUAUGGUGUCGGCCCUCGACGCCCGCACCUCCCUCGUCACCCUGGAUGAGCUGUUCACCAUGCUAAGCAAUUUUGACCAGCGCAUGGCACUCUACCAGGGUUCAGGCGGCUUCAAGUCAUCUUCGAACGCCGCCUCUCGUGGCCGCGGCGGCCGCCGCGGCGGACCUCAACGCGGCAAGACCAGAUCGGGCAGUGGUGGCAACUCCUCCAACAACACCACUCCCCGCGCCGGCCGUUCCCCCCUCCACCAACUCCAAGGGCCGCGGCGGAGGUGGUGGCCGCGGCUCCAACCAAGCGCGCCCUGA